rnacentral:rRNA from 1 species
UACGUAGGGUGCAAGCGUUGUCCGGAAUUAUUGGGCGUAAAGAGCUCGUAGGCGGUUUGUCGCGUCUGCUGUGAAAACUCGGGGCUUAACCCCGGGCCUGCAGUGGGUACGGGCAGACUAGAGUGCGGUAGGGGAGACUGGAAUUCCUGGUGUAGCGGUGAAAUGCGCAGAUAUCAGGAGGAACACCGGUGGCGAAGGCGGGUCUCUGGGCUGACACUGACGCUCAUGCACGAAAGCGUGGGGAGCAAACAGG